ACCCGCUGAACUUAAGCAUAUCAUUAAGGGGAGGAAAAGAAAAUAACAAUGAUUCCCCUAGUAACGGCGAGUGAAGCGGGAAGAGCUCAAGCUGAAAAUCUGGGAGCCUUGCGGUUCUCCGAAUUGUAGUCUAGAGACGCAACGUCAGUGUGUGACCUGGGUAUAAGUUCUUUGGAACAGGACAUCAAAGAGGGUGAGAAUCCCGUUUUUGACCCAGAGUUCACCGCGCACGACUUGUGUUCGAAGAGUCGAGCAGGUCGGGACUCCUACUCUAAAUGGGUGGUAAGAUUCAUCUAAAGCUAAAUAUUGGCGGGAGACCGAUAGCGAACAAGUACCGUGAGGGAAAGAUGAAAAGAACUUUGAAAAGAGAGUUAAAAAGUACUUGAAAUUGUUAAGAAGAAAGCAUUGGAAACCAGUUUUGCCCAGCAUAUUAGGGGACUCUGGCGCGCUGAGUGGCGGGUUUCCGUGUGGUUAAACCGCGGUGCUUGUCAGGAGGUAGCGUUUGAGGUUUAUUAGUGCGGGGUGGGUUAGCAUCUGUUUGGAGUUCGGGAGAAACCUUGGAGGAAGGUGGAGCGAGCCGUUCUGCGGUACUUUCUCUUUAUAGCCUUCAGGGUAUACCGGGUUCUGGACAGAGGAUUGAUAACACGCACCUCUUUUGGCUUGGUUCUUGUGGCCCGUAAUGUUUUUCCUUUUGGACUGAAAAUCAGUGCUUGGGGGACCGCGUUGCGCUGCUGUGAUGUUUCCAUAUGUGUGUUCGCGAUGCUGACGAAAUGGUUUUCAAUGACCCGUCUUGAAACACGGACCAAGGAGUCUAACAUUUAUGCGAGUAUUUGGGUGGAAAACCCUGAUGCGAAAUGAAAGUAAAGGAGGCUUGUCCUCUGAGGUAGGAAACCUUCACGGGUGGCACUAUCGACCGAUCGUUCGCUUGCGAAAGAUUUGAGUAAGAGCAUAACUGUUGGGACCCGAAAGAUGGUGAUCUAUGCCUGAGCAGGGUGAAGGCAGGGGAAACUCUGGUGGAGGCUCGCAGCGAUACUGACGUGCAAAUCGUUCGUCAAACUUAGGUAUAGGGGCGAAAGACUAAUCGAACCAUCUAGUAGCUGGUUCCCUCCGAAGUUUCCCUCAGGAAAGG
rnacentral:rRNA from 1 species